AUUAAAUAGCUCCAGAUGCUGAGUGAAAAGGAUAUUUUAAAUCAGAAAGACACUUUUCUGCAUUGGGCCACAUGAACCCCAAAACCAGGCUUGGCCAGGAAGAUGUGGAGCUUCUGUCCUUUUAAAAUCACCCGGGUAGAGAAAGAGACAACAUGGGCGUUACGGAGGCUUCAGGCUCCCUGGCGAGAGGCACAGAAGGAAGCCCUGUCGGGUCAGGUCAAGCUGGGAGUGCACUCUGUGUGCGUGCCUACCAACAAAGCCCCAAAUACCUGGGAUCGCCCAACGACAGUGGCUGGAGUAAGAGAUGGGAGCAGGAAGACUUGAAAUGGUGCAGAAGAUACAACCCCAUCCGUCAGGAGUGAAAACAAAGAAGAGGAUGGCAUGACUUGGCUUUAGUGUUGACAGCAGGUAUUACAUAACAUCUCUUUGUAGAAGAAGAGGGUAGAUCUUGGACGUCAAUUAUCCUUCCUACUUUUUGAGGAACUAUGUAUUUCUGUAGAAUUAAGAAAUACGGUCCCCAAACGCCCACCUAGCUUGUUGUACCAAAUUACAAUUAGAGACAGCAUGACCUAACUGAAAGAGACCCAGCCAAGACCUUGGAUAAAUAGCUUAGUUUCCCUGGGGAAGCAGGGGAAGGAGGUGUGGGGUAAAUUCCUGCUUCUACUACUACCUAUGACCACAAGUAUCUUUUCUUACUCGUUUCUAGUGGGUUUUUUUUUUUUUUUUCUUGGAGGGGAAGGGAAAUUUCUCAAAUAACCCAUGUAAAAAAUAUUUUGUAAACUAGGAAGGAUUAUUAUCACUUGGGCAUUAUUACUAAAGUCUACUUUUCUAAAAUACUCUAUCAUAAUCAAAAUAGUUCAGUCAAGUCAAAUCACCAGACCUAGAGCAUAAACUUUGCGCCACGCCCUGUGCAAUGCAUGAUGGAUUCAAAGAUGCACAAAGGGGAAAGGCACAAGGAGUUACAUUUACUCUGAAGGAUCACUCAUGGUACUACUGUCAUAGCAAGAAAAAAUGGUGGCAUCAACGCUUUGCCAGAGGGACAUUUUCAGAAACAAGUGUGUUACAAAUAUUGAAAUAUUGAAAUCCAGGGGUCAAACCAAUUGAAAUAGACAACCUCUUAUGUCAUUCUCUAAUUUACCAAAUCCAGUUUGUUUAAUAGGGGGUAAAGGCUGGCAAUGACACUCCUAAAUUCUGGAGCACUUCUCCUUUCAAAAUGAUUUUAAAACAAUUAAAUAGAUACUGACAAGACUCCCGGCAGCAAGAACUACUGAAUAUGAUCAGGAGUGAGGAGACCCUUGGUCAUUUAUACAUUCAGGCUAUUUAU
rnacentral:lncRNA from 1 species